rnacentral:rRNA from 1 species
GACGAACGCUGGCGGCGUGCUUAACACAUGCAAGUCGUACGGUAAGGCCCUUUCGGGGGUACACGAGUGGCGAACGGGUGAGUAACACGUGAGUAACCUGCCCACAACUUUGGGAUAACGCUAGGAAACUGGUGCUAAUACUGGAUAUGUGCUCCUGCUGCAUGGGGGGGGUUGGAAAGCUCCGGCCGUUGUGGAUGGACUCGCGGCCUAUCAGCUUGUUGGUGGGGUAGUGGCCUACCAAGGCGGCGACGGGUAGCCGGCCUGAGAGGGUGACCGGCCACAUUGGGACUGCGAUACGGCCCAGACUCCUACGGGAGGCAGCAGUGGGGAAUAUUGCACCAUGGGCGCACGCCUGAUGCAGCAACGCCGCGUGCGGGAUGACGGCCUUCGGGUUGUAAACCGCUUUCAGCAGGGACGAAGCUUUUUGUGACGGUACCUGCAGAAGAAGCACCGGCUAACUACGUG